rnacentral:rRNA from 1 species
AGGACUAACGCUGGCGGCGUGCCUAACACAUGCAAGUCGAACGAGGUAGCAAUACCUAGUGGCAGACGGGUGAGUAACGCGUGGUCAACCUACCUCUUAGUGGGGGAUAACUAGCCGAAAGGUUAGCUAAUACCGCAUACGAUCGUCGCGAGGCAUCUCGUGACGAUGAAAGGAGCAAUUCGCUAAGAGAGGGGACUGCGUCCCAUUAGUUAGUUGGUGGGGUAAUGGCCUACCAAGACUCCGAUGGGUAGCUGGCUUGAGAGAGCGACCAGCCACACUGGAACUGAGACACGGUCCAGACUCCUACGGGAGGCAGCAGUGAGGAAUUUUCCGCAAUGGGCGCAAGCCUGACGGAGCGACGCCGCGUGUGGGAAGAAGGCCUUCGGGUCGUAAACCACUGUCGAAGGGGACGAUAUUGACGGUACCCUUGGAGGGAGCCCCGGCUAACUACGUGCCAGCAGCCGC